CUUGGUCAUUUAGAGGAAGUAAAAGUCGUAACAAGGUUUCCGUAGGUGAGCCUGCGGAAGGAUCAUUAUUGAAAUUAUAGGUGAGGGUUGUAGCUGGCCUCUCGGGGCAUGUGCACGCCUGAGCCCUUAAUCCACACACACCUGUGAACCUAUUGUAAGGGCCCUCAAAAAGGCCUUUACGUCUUAUCAUCAACCCAUCGUAUGUCUCAUAGAAUGUAAAUAUAUGUCCUCGCCUUAAAAAGCGUUGAUAAACUUAUACAACUUUCAACAACGGAUCUCUUGGCUCUCGCAUCGAUGAAGAACGCAGCGAAAUGCGAUAAGUAAUGUGAAUUGCAGAUUUUCAGUGAAUCAUCGAAUCUUUGAACGCACCUUGCGCUCCUUGGUAUUCCGAGGAGCAUGCCUGUUUGAGUGUCAUUAAAUUCUCAAACUCUGAUUGAUUUGUUUCAAUCGAGCUUUGGAUUUGGAGCGUGCCGGCGUCAGUCGGCUCCUCUUGAAUGCAUCAGCGGAAUCCCAUUCAUUUCGGACGUCAGUGUGAUAAUCAUGUUGUGCUGUCUUUACGAUCUUGAAAGCCCGCUCACAAUGGUCUUCGGACAAACCUCACUAUCAUAUUUGACCUCAAAUCAGGUAGGACUACCCGCUGAACUUAAGCAUAUCAAUAAGCGGAGGA
rnacentral:rRNA from 1 species